GCCCCCCCCCCCCCCCCCCCGGUCCCCCCGACUCGACCUCGUACAGGCGCUCGACGGCGGCACGGCCACCUCGUCCAGGCGGUCCACAAAGUGCGCGCGUCGACGACAGGCUGCAGGACUCGCGCGGCAUCGAAGGCCCCUGACGGCCUGACCCUGAGUGCAGCCGCCAACUCGUCGUUGGCCAGAGAAGUGGAGCCGCCGGCUGGCCAGAGCGAGCAUUCGGCUCGCAUAGCCGCACACUGCCACGCCCCGUUCCAAGCUGAGCGCAUCCAAUACUGGCUAAGAUUUAAAAAUGAAGAGAAAAACUAUGAGUAUGCAUAGUUUUUAUGCAAGCAGUUCAAUUACCCCUCCCCAAAGGCCUGCUCCUCCCCCUACCGAUGUCGAACCUGAACUUGAACCAACUAAUGUGACUGCAAAUCCCCUCCCCUUAAUUGUUGUGGGCACAAUCCCUCCUCCUGAACGCCCAAAUGAAUCCCCAAAUGUUGAGAUGAAUCAUACCACAAUUGAUGAGAGUACAAACCAACCAAGGCAACCUAUACCAGAAUUUCAUCCAAGUCAAAUUAUUUCGGAUCCAGGACUUCGAAUACCAAUAGAAGAUUAUGCUCCUGAAAUUAGAAGUGAUGUGAGACGAGCUUAUUUGUUGAAAGGGAGAAACAAAGCUAUUGGGCAUAAUUUUGAAAAGACAAAGGAUGGUAAAAUUUGGAGAUCCUUUCAACCUGCGUGGUUUGAUACGUAUGAUUGGUUGGAAUAUAGUGUGGAAAAGGAGGCCGCCUUUUGCUACCAUUGCUUUCUUUUCAAGAAACCGUCACAAGCCAUUAGAUUUGGAAAUGAUGUUUUCACAAAAGAUGGUUACACUCGUUGGAAAACAGCCCUAAGUAAUUUCAGGAAGCAUGUUGGUGGUCCAUCUAGUUACCACAACAUUGCUAAGGGAGAUUGUGAUGAUUUCAACAAUCAGAGAGCAAGUGUGGCUACCCAAUUCCGUGUGUACAGCAAGGAGUCUGAGAUAUCUUAUAAAAUCCGCCUAACUGCAUCAUUGGAUUGUGCAAGGUAUCUCAUAGCACAAGGUGAAGCUUUUCGUGGGCAUGACGAAUCCUCCACUUCCAUCAACAAGGGCAAUUUCAGAGAGUUAUUGGACUGGUAUAAGGACAAGAAAGAAGAUGUGAAGGAGGCAUUUGAUAAGGGGCCAGGAAACACACAAAUGAUUUGUUCCGACAUCCAGAAGGACCUUGCUACAGCUUGUGCAAUGGAGGUAACCAAAGUUAUUAAGAAUGACAUUAGAGAUAAGAAUUUCUCAAUACUUAUUGAUGAAGCUAGAGAUUGCUCAAUAAAGGAGCAAAUGGCGGUGAUUGUCAGAUUUCUAGAUGAUCAUGGAGUGCUUCAAGAGCGAUUCCUUGCAAUUAAGCACAUCACAGAUUUUACAUCUGCUGGAAUUAAAAAAGCUUUGGUUGAUGUGUUGGAAUAUCAUGGUUUGUCAACUUCUAGGCUACGUGGUCAGGGUUAUGAUGGUGCUUUCAAUAUGAGAGGAAAUUCAACGGUUUGCAAAAACUGGUUAGAGAUGAAGCUCCGUAUGCAUUUUAUGUUCAUUGCUUUGCUCACCAGUUACAAUUGAUGGUUGUUAAUGUGGCUCAAUGUAGUCCUGCUAUUGCUGAUUUCUUCAACUAUAUUCCGUUGAUAGUUACUCAAGUGUGUUCAUCUUGCAAAAGGAAGGAUGCAUUACUUGCCAAACAUCAAGAUGAGUUGUUAGAUUUGAUGGAGAAUGGAAAGAUCACAGCCGGAACCGGGCUGCAUCAAGAAUCUAACAUAACAAGGCCAGGAGAUACUCGUUGGGGCUCACAUCUCAAAACUUUGCUUCGUAUAUUCACAAUGUGGAAUGCUGUGGUGGAGGUGCUAGGAAUUGUUGUGGUUGAUGCCCGAGAACACACAUGUCAAGGUGGAGCUAGAGGUUUGCUUAAAAACAUGGAAUGCUUUGAAUUUGUGUUCAUCAUGUUGUUCUUAAUAAACUUGUUGAGCAACACAAAUCAUCUAUCCCAAGCUUUGCAAAGAAAGAAUCAAAACAUUGUUGAAGCCAUGCGUUUGAUCUUGGAUGUGAAAGAAAGCUUGCAGAGCAUGAGGGACAAUGGGUGGGAGUCUUUAUUCUGCCAAGUCAAGAACUUUUGUGAAACACAUGGUAUUGAUGUGCCAAACAUGGAUGAUCUUGUUGGAGCUAUGGGUCAAUCUGUUCGCACUAAGAAUAAGGUGACUCGACUUCAUUAUUACAAGGUUAGCAUAUUCAAUGUUGCCAUUGAUGCAACUAUCACUGAGAUGAAUCACCGAUUCAAUGAAGUUUCCACCGAGUUAUUGGAUUGUAUGUCUUGUCUUAAUCCAGCAAACAACUUCUCAAAGUUUAACGUUGACAAACUUAUUCGGCUUGCUGAAAUUUAUGAUGAGGACUUCACAGAAGCUGAUCGGUUAAUGCUAGGAGUAGACCUCCCAAGAUUUCUUAUGAACAUUAGGAGAAGUGAAGAGUUUAAUGGAUGUUGGGAUGUGUCCACACUUGCUCGGUUGAUGGUUGAAACAAUGAAACACACAUCUUUCCAGUUGGUAUAUCGCCUCAUUGAGUUGACACUUAUUCUUCCUGUGGCCACUUCAUCCGUUGAGAGAAUAUUUUCAGCAAUGAAGAUAAUCAAGACAGAUUUGCGCAACAAACUAUCAGAUGAUUGGCUAAAUGAUUUGAUGGUGUGCUACUGCGAGAAAGAGAUAUUUAGAAGCAUUCCUGAUGACCAAAUCAUGAUACAAUUCCAGAAAAUGAGGGAUCGGAAAGGACAUUUGCCUCAUGAGUUUCAUGUGAUUUCUUAGAGAUGGCUUGCAGGAGGUGCCUUACGCAUACAGUACUAGUUAGAUAGACGGGUACGGGGUCCUUGCUUCGGGCCCAAGCGCGCUCCAACGGAUUGACGACGUUUCAUCAGAAUCAGAAGACGAAGGGGGGAUAGGUUUCCCUGCAGGAGGCACGUUUGCCGAGUCUGAUUCGAAUGAGGAAGAUCAGAUCCAGGUCAAUGGGAAGGCGCCCUCGAUCGGGUCGAGGUGCAGCGUGAAGAAGUUGCACGAGCUGAUUUCCUCAUUCGAUGACGAGAAAAGACAAUAUGUAGCCGAGAUGGAGUCUGGGGAGCUGCUGGAACUACCAAAGAUAACAAGGACGGAUAGGCAUUUUCUAAUGUCUAUCCUAAGUCACCUCGAUGAGGAGGCAAGUUCAAUUACAAUCGAUCACAAGCGCGACAUGCAAUUUUACGAUGAAGAUGUCAAUCUGGUCAUCGGCAUACCAUGUGGAACUGCUCCUGUUCGGCCUCCAGACCACUCUCUUCAGGAGGCGGUGGUGACAGAGAUCAAAGAGAUGUUUGGAAUCGCUCCAGCAUACUGCCAAUCGUCGAAGCUGUGAAGCCGCCAAUCGUUCAGGAGGCGGACUACCAUUCUCGAUCCUAUGAUUAACAACGGGGACAAACCAGUAGAUGAACUACGCAGCGAACACAUAAAAAUAGCGGACGAGCUAAGGGGGGCGCUGAUGGAAUGCAUAGCUGACUACUUCGAUGGUUGGACACCCAAGACAAAAGGAUGGCAGAAUUGGUUCCCAAAACUGACAACUGGCACCUGGGUUUGCAGCAGGGCUUCAAGCGGGAUCAUGGCGCUACAUUAUGCUAGGCAGUGGAUGGGGACAAAGCUACAAAGGACGUUAUCGCCGAUACGUAUAAUUAAACACUCAUGCUAGGAGUAAGGGGUUGGGGGGAGUGGAUUUUUCAUUUUGUUAACGGCGGCCUAGCUGACAUGUUCUCAUCAUUUUUAUCAUAGUUGGGGGAUGAGAUCGACCAAUCUAGGAUGAUUCAUUUUUAUGAAGUGUUGGGAUUAGCCGGCAAUAUCGGGCAACUCCCAACCAAAUUCAAAGACUUUGUCAGAAUGAUUGCUGAGAGGCACGCACAGAAGAUUUGCAGGAUUAUCGCUUCCAGCAUCAUCAGAACAUCUACGGAUGACUUAUGAGGCAUGUCACAACGAUUGCCAUUUAUCAAAAAUAAUGACCAGAGACUAGUAUUUUUCUUCCUAAAACAUUUUAUCGCAAGGAUAUGUAAUAAGAAUCUGAUGAUUUUGCUUCCUGCAUGUUUAGAAUGCGGGUUUUGUAUCGCA